rnacentral:rRNA from 1 species
GACGAACCGUGCGAACGUUAUUCGGAAUCACUGGGCUUAAAGCGCGUGUAGGCGGGCCGGCACGUCCGUGGCUGAAAUCCCCCGGCUCAACCGGGGAAGGGGCCCGGAUACGACCGGCCUGGAGGGGGGUAGGGGGCGCCGGAACUUCCGGUGGAGCGGUGAAAUGCGUUGAGAUCGGAAGGAACGCUCGUGGCGAAAGCGGGCGCCUGGACCCCGCCUGACGCUGAGACGCGAAAGCCAGGGGAGCGAACGGG